rnacentral:rRNA from 1 species
UACGUAGGGUGCAAGCGUUGUCCGGAAUUAUUGGGCGUAAAGAGCUCGUAGGCGGCCUGUUGCGUCCGCUGUGAAAUCCCGGGGCUCAACCCCGGGCCUGCAGUGGAUACGGGCUGGCUAGAGGCAGGCAGGGGAGAACGGAAUUCCUGGUGUAGCGGUGAAAUGCGCAGAUAUCAGGAGGAACACCGGUGGCGAAGGCGGUCCUCUGGGCCUGUACUGACGCUGAGGAGCGAAAGCGUGGGGAGCGAACAGG